AGAGAGGAGAGCUCAGGUCAAGCCAAGCGCCCAGAGAGUCAGCAGAAGGCUGUGGGUCUUUCUUUGUCCUUGUCUUGGUCCCCUUCCCGAUGGCCCACGGCUUCUCCACUACCUGACCCACUGUGGUGACUGGUCGUGACCCCGGAAUCGGGAAGAGGGGAAGAAUUAGGCUAACACCCCUGGCCAAUUGAGCGGCGAGAGGAACUGACUUACUAGAGUGAUUGACUUAGUAAAACUGCAUCAGGUUAUUCCUGAUUUGCUGUUUCUCUCUUUAUGGUCUUCUAACGCAGUGGUCAUCACAGGGAUUGACUAUUGAAUCCAAACGUCGGGGACCAAGGAGACCAAACGGGCACCAAAUUCCCAAAGAGGUCGAAAAGAGAAAGAAAAAGCCCUUUUUUUUGCCAGUCUCAUACCAAUGGGGAGAGAUCUACAUUUACCAUCAGUUUGGACGAUAUAUUAGAAUCGCCUGGAGGGUUUUAAAAGCAUUGGUUCCAUUGGGUUGUGAUGAUCCUUGUACAACUAUAAAUGUCAUAAAAUUCAUUGAGUAAUAAUACAAAAAAAAAGAAAGAAAAAAGAGAAGGAAAAAUAAAUUGGUUCCCCGGGCUCUUCCGUCCAACAAUGAAAUCUGUGCCUUUGUAGGGGAGGGCUCUGGCCUUGGUAGUUUAUAACCUCCCAGGAGAUUCUGAGACAAAGCCCAAGUUGGGAAGGUAGUGAUCUCUGAAGUUGGGACUGUAAGCUGAUUCCAAAUCUGCUUGGGAAAAACGACUUCAGGAAAACCUGCUAUGAACGAGCCCACUUGCCAUCCACCAUUGAGGCCUGCUGGACCCAGGCUCGGUUUGAAGGCCCUGUCAGAUGAAACGGUUUAAAUGAAAGGGGAUGAGGUCUGGUAAAGGCAAGUCACUAAAUGCAACGAAAAAUGGACACUUCAGCAAUUUCUUCUAUUCAAGAAGGCAGGGGAUUGCUUAAAAUUUGGGGGGAGAAUUUCUAUCUAAAAUUUUAAAAGUCCUAAGAAAUUAUUUGUGUUUGAAGAAUCUCGCCUCUGGGGACACCUUCCUCCCCAAGGGUGCUGAUGGACACACGGACAAACCAGUCGUCGGGUCCUGGGCACGGGGGCUGUGCCAUCUCGAGAUAGAAGCUCCUCAUUGGACUUUUACGUGACGUUUGAUUGCCUUUUUGUUUUACGUUUUUCAUCUGCUUAAACCAUUCUACCAGGGAACUGCAAUCUUAGGACAAAGGGCAUGUCCCGUCGCAUAUGCUAGGCCCUGCUGUGGCUUCCGGUUGAGACAGUGCCUGGUUUUCUGAAUCCUCCCUGGAUUUGACCUGAUUUGAGGCUUCAAU